GGCAAAGGGAGGGCAUCAUGCACAGGCCCCAGGCGGUCACGUACAGCUGCAUGCGGGGAGCCAGGGGAAGCACGCAGGGCCCGGAGGGGGGACGACGCGGGGGGAGGGGGGCACGGACACGCAGGAGACACGGGGGGCAUGCAAGGGCCCGCAUGGCGAGGGGACACAGGAGACACGGGGGGGGGGGGCACGCAAGGCCGCGGAGAGCAUGCAGGACGCGGGGAGGACACAGGGCCCCUGGGGACACGCAGGACCCGGGGGAUCCCCCACGGAGGCGGGUGCCGGCGCAGCAGCGGAUCCCACGCGCGGACAGACCCGGUCGGCGCGCGCCUUGCCCCCGUCCCCCGCCCGCCGCCGGCGCGCAGGCGCGCUACGCCGGCCCGGCACCUAUUUCACAGGCAGCUCGGGCCGCGGCGCCCCCGCGAAAUAAGUCCCGGGAGCCGGGCCCGGCCGUGCGCCUGCGCGGGGGCCGAGAGCCGCGCGCGGCUGAGCCCCGCUCCCCCCCCCCAUCCCCCCCCCCCCCACCCUGCCUCCCUUCCCUCCCCGCACCCACCGCCCGCCGCCCAGCCGGAGCGCCCGCCGCCGGAACCGGAGCGGGGUCAGCGGGACCCCGGCCUGAGGCAGCUGGUGACCGAGGGCUCUCCCGCCUGGCUGCCCAUCGCUGCCUGCUCCUGCCUCACAAUGGCAACUCCGGACGUCAGCGUUCACAUGGAGGAGGUGGUGGUGGUGACAACGCCUGAUGGCACGGUGGAUGGAGGCGGUGUGGAGGAGGUGAAGACGGUGCUGGUCACCACCAACCUGUCCCAGCACAGCGGUGACAUAAAUGAAGACACGCUGGAGACCGAAAAUGCAGCUGCUGCGGCUGCUGCUGCCUUUACAGCCUCCACGCAUCUGAAGGAAGCAGUCCUAGAAGUGAAGAUGGCUGAAGAUGAGGACAGUUUGGAGGCAGAGAUUGUCUACCCCAUCACCUGCGGGGACAGCAAAGCCAACCUCAUCUGGAGAAAGUUCGUGUGCCCUGGGAUCAACGUGAAGUGUGUGCAGUUUGACGAUCACCUAAUUAGUCCCAAGGAGUUUGUCCACUUGGCGGGCAAGUCGACGCUGAAGGAUUGGAAGCGGGCGAUCCGGAUGAACGGGAUCAUGCUCCGGAAGAUCAUGGACUCAGGAGAGCUGGAUUUCUACCAGCACACGAAGGUCUGUUCCAACACCUGUCGGAGCACCAAAAUCGACCUGACCGGAGCCAGGGUGUCCUUGACCAGCCAGACAUCGACAGAGUACAUCCCUCUCACUCCUGCUUCUGCGGAUGUGAACGGAUCCCCAGCUACAAUUACCAUAGAAACAUGCGAGGAUUCCAGCGAUUGGAGCACCAGCAUUGGAGAUGACACCUUUGCUUUCUGGCGAGGCCUGAAGGACACAGGUCUCCUGGAAGAAGUAAUCUAUGAGUUCCACCAGGAGCUAGUGGAGACCAUGAAGGGCUUGCAGCAGCGAGCACAGGAUCCCCCGCUGCAGCUCGGUGAUGCUGUUUUACUCAACAACGUAGUCCAGAACUUUGGUAUGCUGGAUCUCGUCAAGAAGGUCCUGGCCAGCCACAAGUGUCAGAUGGAUCGCUCAAGGGAGCAGUACACGCGGGAUUUGGCAGCUCUGGAGCAGCAGUGUGAUGAGCACCGCAAGCGGGCAAAAGAGCUGAAGCACAAAUCGCAGCAUCUCAACAACGUCCUGAUGACCCUCACACCCGUCUCUGUCCCCACGCCUUUAAAACGUCCCAGGCUGACCAGGGCCACUUCUGGACCAGCUGCCAUCACCUCCCAAGUCCUGUCCCAGCCGGCGCAGCUCGCCGUCCCCCCCGGCGUGCCCGUCUCCCAGCUCACCAGCCUCCCUCUCGGCAAAGUGGUCUCAGCCCUCCCAUCCUCGGUGCUGGGGAAGAGCCCGUCCCAGCCUCCCGCCGCCAGCUCCCCGGCCUCCCCGCUGCUGGGAGGGUACACGGUACUGGCCUCCUCCGGCUCCACCUUCCCCGGCACGGUGGAGAUCCACCCGGACGCUUCCAACCUGACGGUGCUGAGCACGGCUGCGGUCCAGGAUGGCAGCACGGUGGUGAAGGUGGUGAGCCCCUUCCAGCUGCUGACACUGCCGGGACUCGGCACGACCAUCCAGAACGUGACACAAAUGGCUCCCGGUGGGAGCACGGUCGUGACCGUCCCAUCAGGUGCCACCGAGGCUGCCGGGGACGAGCACACUGCCGCCACCAUCGAGGUGACUGCGGUGGCCGAUGAGGUGGAGCAGAAGUGAAAGGAGGGACUUGCCUGGAGGGACACUGGCCGUGCCGCUCUGGGUGGAACUGCCUUUUCUCUGGCUGUGGGGCAGGAUGAGGAGCGGUGUAACGAGGGGCAUGUGUUAACGAGACUCAGAGCGGCUCACAUUGGUAACGAGGAGGUGCAGGUCAGGGAAGGAGGAUGAGGAAGGAUGCCUGGAGAAGGGAAAGGCAAAAAUGCUCUGCCCUGUUUGGAGGAGAGAAGAAAAAAAAGCUUAUUUUUUUUAUAGAGCUUUCCUCUCCUAUUCUCUUGGAAUAGUUAUUCUGUUCUAGUUCAUCAGCCCUGCCUCGUCUGCAGGUGUAGCUGGAGCAGUGUCCAUUAGAGGAGCGGGCAGGAGCAGGGGUGCAGGGCAGGGAGAAGAUGGCAGCAAAAGGAAGAGCAGGCAAAGCGCUGAGCAGGCACCGAUCGGCUGCCGAGGGGUCUGGUGUGAACUGAUGGGAGGUGUCGGGGAGCUGGGUGCUCCCCAUCCCCGAGGGGCUGCAGGGAGGGAGAGGGGAUGCCGACAGCGGGUUGUCCGUGGGAUGUGUGUGGUCAUCGAAACCGGGAAGAGACUCUGUAUGGCAGCGCGGGCAUGAGCCCUGGGAGGUUGGCUUCUGCGUGUGAUGCUGGCUACAGGUGGCACAAACAAGCAGGAGCUCUUGUGACGGUGGUCGUGGUGGGUUGCCCAGGUCUGCUGGGGGAAGAAGAGGAGAGAGAGAAACCCAGAGGGCUGGGAAGAGCUGUAACUUCUGAGGAUUUAGGAUUUCUUUCUAGUUUUCUCAAAAAAAAAAAAAAAAAAAAUCCAAUUUUUGGGAUUUUUUUUAAGCAAACAGCAAUUUUUAAGCAAAGCCCUUUGGUUGUGAAGAUCAUGCUGUUUGAAUGUGCAGAGAGAUGAGCUGAACGGCAGCGCUCUGAGGAGCUUGCACUUACUAACGAGGUGUGACCCUGGUGGGGGAUCAGGCUGGUCCCCAGCAUCUCGCCAGGGGCCUCAUCCCACGGGUUGGAGCAGCCGUUCUGUAACGGGGCAGUCGACCCCCCCAGUACUCCUUUGACCAUUCAGCUUGCUGCGGGUCUCCCAGCUGCCCUGUUUCAGGGCACGCGUGCGGCUGCAGCGAUGUUCACGCUGUCUCCGGCUGGAAGGAGUCGGGUGCUUGAAGUGUUGGGGUUUCUACAAACUUGAUCUGGCGGCAGCAGCAGCAGCGACAACAGAUGAUGCUUUUAAUUUCAGGAACUGGAAAGAUUGGUGCCACCCUGCAAGCCUGGUAGAGACCAGGCUGGAUGAGAGCAGCAGUCAUGCAGAAGAUCUUCCAUGAUCAGCUGUCCCGGCCGCGUUAGGAGCUGUGGCUGUGCCAGCGUGUCCCGGUGCUCCGGGGAGGCACCGUGGGAGCAGGGGAUGGAGCGGAGAGCUCGUGUGCUCCAGGGGAAGAGCCCAGAGACGUGGCUGUGCUGCAGCUCCGCUUGAAGUGGAUGCUUGGCUUUUUCCCACGGCAGCAGACGGAUGGAUGCUGUGUGUCUGCGUGGAGGCAGAGCCUGUUUCUCAGAAUCCCUCUUUGUUAGCUGCAGGGUCGUUGUUCAGAAACCUCUAGUUCUGUGUGUCACAGCCCCAGCAAAACCAUUAAAUCAACCCAGUAUUGGCUAAUUCUGUCUCUUCUG